GUGUGUGUGCAGCACAUAUUUAAAAUUGGAAUAAUACACAGAAGAUUAGCAUGGCCCCUGUGCAAGGAUGACUCACAAAUUUGUGGUGUGUUCCAUAUUUGU